GGUUGUCGUCCCCUCCUGCUGAGCAAGGUAAGAAUUGGUAAGAGCUUGUGAAACAGGUUGAAAGUGAGUGCCUUGCAGUAGCUACAUCCUAAUAGCUGUAGGACUUUUAUUUCUUCACCUAUUUUCUUGUUUCCACUAUUCUUUUAACCCUGAUAGGUUCUGAGGAUGUUGACAGUAUGCAACAUUCACCUCACACCAAGGACAUCAUACCACAUUUUGAAAGGCAGGUGAAGCUGUAGACAAA
rnacentral:lncRNA from 1 species